rnacentral:rRNA from 1 species
GACGAACGCUGGCGGCGUGCUUAACACAUGCAAGUCGAACGGAAAGGCCCUGCUUUUGUGGGGUGCUCGAGUGGCGAACGGGUGAGUAACACGUGAGUAACCUGCCCUUGACUUUGGGAUAACUUCAGGAAACUGGGGUGAAUACCGGAUAUGAGCUCCUGCUGCAUGGUGGGGGUUGGAGAGUUUCGGCGGUUGGGGAUGGACUCGCGGCUUAUCAGCUUGUUGGUGGGGUAGUGGCUUACCAAGGCUUUGACGGGUAGCCGGCCUGAGAGGGUGACCGGCCACAUUGGGACUGAGAUACGGCCCAGACUCCUACGGGAGGCAGCAGUGGGGAAUAUUGCACAAUGGGCGGAAGCCUGAUGCAGCAACGCCGCGUGCGGGAUGACGGCCUUCGGGUUGUAACCCGCGUUCGCCUGUGACGAAGCGUGAGUGACGGUAAUGGGUAAAGAAGCACCGGCUAACUACGUG